rnacentral:rRNA from 1 species
CCUACGGGGGUCAGCAGUGGGGAAUCUUCGGCAAUGGAGGAAACUCUGACCGAGCAACGCCGCGUGAAUGAUGAAGGUCUUCGGAUUGUAAAGUUCUUUUCUAAGGGAAGAAGAAAGUGACGGUACCUUAGGCAUAAGCCUCGGCUAACUACGUGCAAGCAGCCGCGGUAAUACGUAGGAGGGAAGCGUUAUCCGGAAUGACGGGGCGUAAGGGGUGCGUAGGUGGUUUGACAAGUUGGUAGCGUAACUCCGGGGAUCAACCUCGGCACGACUACCAAAACUGUCGGACUUGAGUGCAGGAGGGGCAAAUGGAAUUCCUAGUGGAGCGGUGGAAUGCGUAGAUAUUAGGAGGAAAAACAGUGGCGAAGGCGAUUUGCUGGACUGUAACUGACACUGAGGCACGAAAGCGUGGGGAGCAAACAGGAUUAGAUACCCCUGGUAGUC